AUUGAACGCUGGCGGCAGGCCUAACACAUGCAAGUCGAACGAGUGGCGGACCGGUGAGUAAUGUCUGGGAAACUGCCUAAAGGAGGGGGAUAACUACUGGAAAAGGUAGCUAAUACCGCAUACCAUCGGAUGUGCCCAGAUGGGAUUAGCUUGUUGGUGGGGUAACGGCGCACCAAGGCGACGAUCCCUAGCUGGUCUGAGAGGAUGACGAGCCGGACUGGACCUGAGGCACGGUCAAGACUCCUACGGUAGGGAGCGUUGGGGAAUAGUGCGCAAUGGGGUCAAGCCAGAUGCAGCCAUGCCGGGUGUAUGAAGACGUCCUUCGGGUUGGGAAGUACUUUCAGCGGGGAGACGUUCCCCGCAGAUGAAGCACCGUCUAACUCCGUGCCAGCCGCCGAGGUAAUAC
rnacentral:rRNA from 1 species